rnacentral:rRNA from 43 species
UGACCUCGGAUCAGGUAGGGAUACCCGCUGAACUUAAGCAUAUCA